GACGAACGCUGGCGGCGUGCUUAACACAUGCAAGUCGAACGGAAAGGCCCUGCGUUUGUGGGGCGCUCGAGUGGCGAACGGGUGAGUAACACGUGAGUAACCUGCCCCUGACUUUGGGAUAACUUCAGGAAACUGGGGCUAAUACCGGAUAGGAGCUCCUGCUGCAUGGUGGGGGUUGGAAAGUUUCGGCGGUUGGGGAUGGACUCGCGGCUUAUCAGCUUGUUGGUGGGGUAGUGGCUUACCAAGGUUUUGAAGGGUAGCCGGCCUGGGAGGGUGACCGGCCACAAUACGACUGAGAUACGGCCCAGACUCCUACGGGAGGCAGCAGUGGAGAAUAUUGCACAGUGGGCGGGAGCCUGAUGCGGCAACGCCGCGUGCGGGAUGACGGGCUUCGGGUUGUGAACCGCUUUCGCCUGUGACGAGGCGUGAGUGACGGUAAUGGGUAAAGAAGCACCGGCUAACUACGUG
rnacentral:rRNA from 1 species